rnacentral:rRNA from 1 species
AUUGAACGCUGGCGGCAGGCUUAACACAUGCAAGUCGAGCGAGCGGCGGACGGGUGAGUAAUGUCUGGGAAACUGCCUGAUGGAGGGGGAUAACUACUGGAAACGGUAGCUAAUACCGCAUACCAUCAGAUGUGCCCAGAUGGGAUUAGCUAGUAGGUGGGGUAAUGGCUCACCUCGGCGACGAUCCCUAGCUGGUCUGAGAGGAUGACCAGCCACACGGGAAUGAAGAAACGGUCCAGACUCCUACGGGAGGCAGCAGAGGGGAAGAGUGCACAAUGGGCGCAAGCCUGAUGCAGCCAUGCGGCGUGUGUGAAGAAGUCCUUCGGGUUGUAAAGCACUUUCAGCGAGGAGGAGUUACUCGCAGAAGAAGCACCGGCUAACUCCGUGCCAGCAGCCACGGGAAUAC